rnacentral:lncRNA from 1 species
CGGCAUAUGGAAGUUCCUAGGCUUGGGGUCCAAUCGGAGCUGUAGCCACCAGCCUGCACCACAGCCAGAGCAAUGCGGGAUCCAAACCGCGUCUGCAACCUACACCACAGCUCACGGCAACGCCGGAUCGUCGACCCACUGAGCAAGGCCAGGGAUUGAACCCGCAACCUCAUGGUUCCUAGUCUGAUUCGUUAACCACUGAGCUACGACGGGAACUCCACAACCACCAUUAAUACUUUGGAAAUUUCCUCACAAUUUAAAAAAAUUUUCUAUGCAUAAUCUUAGGGAGGUUUUAAGAUAGCAGAAUUCAAAUUGUAUGUGGUAUUUUGUAUCCUGCUCUUUUCACUUGAUAUUAUCGUAUAAUUCCCAUAUCAUCGCAAACCCUUCCUAAAGAGCCUGUUCAAAUGACUUCUUAACAUUCUACGGAAUGGAUAGUCUAUAAUUUACUAUUCCCCAAAUGGGCAAGAUGGGGCUAUGUCCAGGUUUUGUUUUGUUCGUUUGCUUGGGUUUUUUGGUCUUGUUUUGGCUAUUAUUUCCUUGAGUGACAAAAGACUGUUUGUACAGGACUCUAAAUGUAAAGGAAGGAGGCACCCGCCCUGGAAUGCCCAUCACGGAGUCAGACCGAGUGAGGAGGAGCCGGGGCACCAUCCUGACCAGAGGAAGUGCCUGCCUCACCAUGGACGUCAAUAGAAGGUGAAGCCCCCUUUGCCUGUCUCAGGACUUCUUCCAUUGGGAUGGAGCUCCACCAGCAGCACUCCUGGCCUCCCUCCACUUCGAGGUGGAGUGUCCAUCCCAACUGACGGUCUAGGGAAGGAGUCCCUUCCACUGAGAGCCAGCACAGCCCUAUCCCUUCCUGCGGUGUUUUUUAGCAGAUCAGGCCCCAGUUUGGGCAGCUCUGCAGGAACCCAGCUUUGUCUGUUAACAGGGGAGAAGUCUCACUCCGGUGUUCAGCCAUAUCAAGUUCCUUUCAUCUCCAAAAUCUGUUUGAUUGGAAUAACCGUGAUAUUUUGGUCACCUGUCUCCUUCCAUUUUGUCUAAUUUUUCCACUGGCUCAGGAUUCAAGUCAGGAAGAAGGAUGCUAUUUAUCCAACCCCUUCAAAACCACAACUAAGACCAUAUCCUCCACUGUUGCUGAAUUUUUUCCCUUCUCACCCCACAAGCAGGAUGUUGGGGUUUGGGAUUCUGCUUAGGGGACUUAGCUGAAGGCAAAAUUCAUUGCUACAUGCGGGUCUUGACAAUCAACACUAUGCUCAAACAGAAACAACAGAUAAUAGAAUCAUUAUUAUUUAUAACAGUCACUGCUGUUUCUUGAGUAGUAAUCACGUACCAUGUGUUGCUAAUUUUUUUUUUUUUUAAUCUUUUCAGAGGCGCACCUGUGGCAUAUGGAGGUUCCCAGGUUAGGGGCUGAAUCGGAGCUGUAGCUGCUGGCCUACAUCACAACCACAGCAACACCAGAUCCAAGCCAAGUCUGUGACCUAGACCACAGCUCACAGCAACGAGGGAUCCUUAACCCACUGAGCCAGGCCAGGGAUCGAACCCAUGUUCUCACGGAUCCUAGUCAGGUUCGUUAACCCCUGAGCCACAGUGGGAACUCCCAUGCACCCUGCAUUGUAUCAAAUGCUUGGCACCCCUAGUUCCUGCUAACAAAAGCCCUCUCGGGUAGAUAUCAUCACCUCUGCUUUACAAGGGGGGAAGCUGAGGUUAUACGAGAGGUCUUGUAACAUCCAGAUUACAGGCUUACACUGUUAACAGUGGCCAGGCCAGGAUUCACAAUUAGAUUAAGACCCCUGAAAGGCUGUGCUCUUAACCUCUUAGCAGCCACAUGGUUUCCUCUGAGGAGGGGGGCAGGUGAGGGAGUGAGGGCCCCCACAUCCUCUCAACACACAGUUCAGGGAAUUCCAGCAUGCUCAGAGCCCCCCCAGAUCUUUAUCUUCCCAGAGACCAUUGUCACAGCAUCAUUGUCGUAUAAAGGGGGGGAGUGUUGAUUACUCUGGGCUUCUUUUUUUUUUUAGGGCCGCACCAAGGGCAUGUGGAAGUUCCCAGGCUAGGAGUCUAAUUGGAGCUACAGCUGCCAGCCACAGCCAUAGCAAUACCAGAUCCAAGCCGCAUCUGUGACCUAGACCAAGGCUCACAGCAACACCAGAUCCCCACCCACGGAGUGGGGCCAGGGAUUGAACCCACAUUUUCAUGGAUACUAGUUGGGCUUGUUACCACUGAGCCUCAACCAGAACUCCAGGCUUCUGGUUUUUUUUAGGUCGGAGUCACAUAACCUACAACUCAUCAUUUUAAAUUGUACGAUUUAGUGGCAUUUAGGCUGCAAGGCUCUACCAUCACCACCUCUACCCAGUUCCCGACAUUUUUAUCACCAUAGACGGAAACCUUCCUACAAAGUCACUCCUCAAUCCCCCCUCCACUCUGGCAAUCACUCAUCUGCUUUCUGUCUCUAUGGGUUCUCCUAUUCUGAAUAUUCCAUCUGAAGGGAUUACCUGGAGGUUUCUCAUGGGUGAUUACAGCAUUCACCACUCACGUGUUGUGUGCAGAUAGGGACGCAGCUCUCCAACACAGGGUCAGAGAAUUCUCCUUUCGCUGCCCACCCGGGACGACCCCCUUGCCAUUGUGCAGCCUCUUAGCGUUUCUCUCCUUGACGGGCCACACAUCCUGUCCCGCUUCCCCACUUCACAUUCACGCUAAAACAAAACAAACACACAAGGAAACAAAACUCUUCCCAACUCGUGAGCGGAUGAGCCAGGAAAUCCAAUGAUUCAACCCUUUUUUUCUUAGCUCAAGAAGGUCAAGCCCAACCCACUGCAGGGUACUGGCAACUCUAUCUGAUCUCUUGGGACAGUCCAUGAAGGAAGAUAUUAUAAGGAAUGGAAGGUAUAUGUAUGUAGGACUGGGUCACUUUGCUGUACAGCAGAAAUGGGCACAACAUUGUACAUCAACCAUACUUUUAAAAAAAAGUUUCAGGAGUUCCCACUGUGGCAUGAGCGGAAAUGAAUCCGAUUAGGAACCAUGAGGUUGCGGGUUCGAUCCCUGGCCUUGCUCAGUGGGUUAAGGAUCCGGUGUUGCCAUGAACUGCGGUGUAGGUUGCAGAUGGCUUGGAUCCUGCGUUGCUGUGGCUGUGACGCAGGUCAGCAGCUGUAGCUCCAAUUUGACCCGAGCCUGGGAACUUCCAUAUGUCAUGGGUGCGGCUUUAAAAAACAAACAAACAAAUAAAUAAAACUGUUUAAAUGUUUCGUGUAUCUUUAAAAAAAAAAAAAGUGUCUUCUGGGAGUGCAACUGCAAGACAGAAUGAGGCAAAAAGCUACAAAAGGAGAAGGUAAUAACUGAAGGGAAUGGUCCCCUUACUGCCAAAAGGAACCCAAAGCAGAAUGUGAGCGUGCUAGCCAGCUCCCACAGCCCCCACCGCAUACAGGGCCAUUCAGACUUCUAAGCACGUAGUCCAGAAAGUCUACAAACACAGGGCCAGUUGAACCAGGAAGACACACCUGGAGAGGAUGGCACUUGCCUGUAAACCGCCUCCCCCUGCCAUCUUGCCACUCAAAGUAUGGUCUGAGGACCAGCAGCAUCAACACACCCUUGUUACAAAUGCAGACUCUGCCAAGGACCUGUCUGCUCAGUCCUGAGCUAUUUCCAUUGCAGGGCUUGUCCCUAUACUUCUGUAUGGAGGUAUAAUUAUACUACCCCUUAGGUUUUCUUAUCAUACUAUGCUCUGUUUCACGUUGCACCCUUAAAGCUCUGUCCAUAUGCCUUUAUUUCAGGAUUCUGAGCAUAAGGCAUGGCCAGCAUUAUUAGUGAAUUUUUUUAUUUUAUUUUUUGCCCUUUUUAGGACCAUACCUGCAGCAUAUGGAAGUUCUCAGACUAGGGGCUGAAUUGGAGCUGCAGCUGCCAGCCUACACCACAGGCACAGCAAUGCUAGAUCCGAGCCUCAUCUGCGACCUACACCACAGCUCAGGGCAAUGCUGGAUCCCCGACCCACUGAGAGGCCAGGGAUUGAAGCCGCAUCCUCAUGAAUACUAGUCGGAUUUGUUUCCGCUGUGCCACAACAGGAACUCCUUCAGUUCAAAGAGAGCCUUAGCCUGGGCUCCUGUAAGUCCCCGGUCAUAUGUGCACCUCCACCUCCACCCACACUGCCCUCCACUCUCGGCACAGGAGCAGUGAUUAUGUACAUCUUUACGGUGUGUUACUUCUUCCUUCCAGAUGUGGUCUAGUCUUCCCUUAGAAUCAAUGGCCUGGAGCAGUGAGACUGGUUUAUUAUUCCCAUCUGUGAAUGCUCCUCCUUCUAGUUGGAGAAGGCAGGAAUUUCAGAGUUGCUCAAACUGAUCCCGCCAGAGUGCAGAGAAGGAAAAGACGGGUGGGGAGGGAGGACCAGUGAGGUUAAGAGGGGGUGGAGGGAUCGUGUACUGAAAAAGGACUUCCACAUCUUUCAGGACCACUGGGCAGAAACAUGAAUUGAGACAGAGACCACCUGGCUGUCUCUGGGAAAUUCCACAUA